rnacentral:lncRNA from 1 species
UGAAAUUUAGGACGAAAUGAGCUAAAAACCCACAACCAUUGCUUUCAAUCAUUAAAUGGCUUGAAUAAUGCUUUUUGUGGUUAAAAUAUGUUAGAAUACAAUAAGUUUGAUUGAUUACAAGUGCUAGAGCAUCAUGAAGAGUGUUUAGAAGUUUGGAGGAAGACUUGUUGAAAUUUGGUCCCAAAUGGGCUAAGAACUCGGAAACAUUGCGUUGAACCACUAAAUGGC